rnacentral:rRNA from 1 species
GAUGAACGCUAGCGGGAGGCCUAACACAUGCAAGCCGAGCGGUAUUGUUUCUCGGAAAUGAGAGAGCGGCGUACGGUGCGGAACACGUGUGCAACCUGCCUUUAUCUGGGGGAUAGCCUUUCGAAAGGAAGAUUAAUACUCCAUAAUAUAUUGAUUGGCAUCAAUUAAUAUUGAAAGCUCCGGCGGAUAGAGAUGGGCACGCGCAAGAUUAGCUAGUUGGUGAGGUAACGGCUCACCAAGGCGACGAUGGGUAGCCGGCCUGAGAGGGUGACCGGCCACACUGGGACUGAGAUACGGCCCAGACUCCUACGGGAGGCAGCAGGCGGGAAUAUUGGGCAAUGGACGAAAGUCUGACCCAGCGACGCCGCGUGAGGGAUGAAGCUUCCCGGAGCGUAAACCUCAAACGGAUAGGGACGAAAAGCCUAUCGGCUAAUAUCCGGUAGGCCUGACGGUACCUGUUACGAAGCUCCGGCUAACUCCGUG